ACUUUCACACCUCCUCCGGCUAGCCUAAGAAUCUAUUUGGACUUUCUAUCAAGCCCAUCAAGAAUUACUUACCAUACACCUUGCUGCAAACAACAUCAAUCUUAGGCCUCAAUGACAUGGCCCUACGCCCUUUUCAGAUUUGCACACUGCAUGCUAGCAGUACGCCCCUGCUUUCUUUAUCUUUUAUUUCUUCUGAUCUUUGUUGUUUUUAAUAUCUUUUUUUUUUAAUUUUCUUACAUUUUAGUUUUUUG
rnacentral:lncRNA from 1 species